UUGAAUUAGAAAGUCAUCACUACCAAACUCGAAUGGGGUUGUUAUCAAUAUCAAUGUCGAGAAUUCACAAGAUUCCUGUGUAAUUAUGUAAUUUAUGACGCCAUAGCGUGCGCUCUAAUUAAUUUCUCAGUAACAUUGUAUCUUGGUUCAACCCAGUAAAAAGAGAUGAGUUGAAGUUGAAUUAGAUGGUUAUCACUACCAAACUAGAAUGGGGCUGCUAUCAAGUAGAGACAUCAACGUCUGUCGAUCUCGGUCCCUCGCCCUUGGCGGUGAAUGCAGCCACUUGUAUGGUAUAUCCCGUGUAGACAUCAAGCCCCCGCAACAAAACCCGCACCUCGCUUGGUCCCGUCUGGUUGCUAAGAUACGCCGUGCUAUGGACGCUCUUGAAGUACACCCUGUAACCUAGCAACACGCCUCGCACGUGACCGGACCAGUCCCCUUGGUGGUAAAUGCCACCAGCGUGAUGUCAUAAACAGUGAACGCCUUGAGGCCACGUAACGCCAACUCCGUGGAACUUGGCGGGGCGUGGAUUACAG